rnacentral:rRNA from 1 species
ACUGGGACUGAGACACGGCCCAGACUCCUACGGGAGGCAGCAGUGGGGAAUUUUGGACAAUGGGGGCAACCCUGAUCCAGCCAUGCCGCGUGUCUGAAGAAGGCCUUCGGGUUGUAAAGGACUUUUGUCAGGGAGGAAAUCCCUAAGGUUAAUACCCUUGGGGGAUGACAGUACCUGAAGAAUAAGCACCGGCUAACUACGUGCCAGCAGCCGCGGUAAUACGUAGGGUGCAAGCGUUAAUCGGAAUUACUGGGCGUAAAGCGUGCGCAGGCGGUUUGAAAAGUCAGCUGUGAAAGC